UGGACCAACGAUGGGAAACUGUCUUGGAACAAAAGAUCAUGAUUAAUCUGGUCCAUUGUAAAAUCCAGAUGUCCAUU